AUGUCUUAAACGCUGAGUCCUGACCUAGAAGUCAGGAGCGGGGGAACCAACGGUGAGCAUAGCGAGUAUCUAAUGCGAACCACGGGGUGAAUCCUUGAACCGUCUAGAGACGGCAAAAAGGUAGGGCGACUCUCAACGCCCGAAUCCGACAGCUAACCUCGUAAGCGUCUCGAGAGAGGCAAC
rnacentral:sRNA from 1 species